UAUUCUGUUUGCCUAGAAUGCUCUUCCCCAAGAUAUUUCCACCCAUUAUUUCCUGACUUCUUUAGCUCUCAGCAAAAAUGUCACAUCCUCAGAGAAACCUUCCUUUGCCUAACUUGCUUUGUUUUUCUUACAGCACUUAGCACCGUAUGAAGCUAUGUAUGUGUAUAUUUCCUGUUUCUACCUUGGUGCAAAUUCCGUGAAAGCUAGAACAUUGUGUGGUUCAUUAUCUUGUUCAUUGUCCCUGUGCUGAAUAUUGUGUCUAGCUUAUAGUAGAUGCUUAAUUAUUAUUAAUUAAAUGAAUGAAGCUUGACGAGAAUGUUCAUUGAUGCCCCCAGGGUCUAUGCUUGGGGUUAUAGGUGAGAAGGCUUUAUGAAGAAAUUCUUUAGUCCUGCCUCCUGUCCAAUGACUUGGACAGAUGGCAUUACAGUGUGAUUCAGGACAUGGGUUGCAGAAGAACUGCCUGGAGUUUACUACUUGUUAACCUUAGGACUCAAUUACCAGGCAUAACAAGAAUCAACUGUAUAUUUCUCCUUCCACUCACUAAUCAACUUCUCCAGAAAGUGGUUUUCACUCGAAACCUCUAUUUCAUCACAAUACUUCCUGCCAGAAUAUUUUAUUAUCUGACUCACAUCUGCACCCUACGACAUUCUCAGAACCCAAGAGAGAAAUUCCGCCAGACCUCAGGACAGGGGGAAUGAGGGACCCCCUCAGGACUCUCAGCUGCCUUCUGAGUGUCAGUGUCCUUCUUCCCUCUCUCCCUUUGCAGUUUGACCUUCUCUGGACUUUUUGGUCUAUAUGGAAGAAGAAUGGCAGCCAAAGCCAUUGAGUUUUACAUCCUCCCAUCCAAUUAACUGAAGACAGACUGACUCUCUUCUUGGUUCCGUAUAUCCUGAGAAAGACUUAGGACCCAGGUUGGGUCAGGUGCUGCAACCCUGGAUAUUCAGCUGAGGCUGGUAUGUGUGUGUGUG
rnacentral:lncRNA from 1 species